rnacentral:rRNA from 1 species
AGAGUUUGAUCCUGGCUCAGAAUCAACGCUGGCGGCGGGCCUAACACAUGCAAGUCGAACGAGAAAGUGGAGCAAUCCAUGAGUAAAGUGGCGUACGGGUGAGUAACACGUGGGUAAUCUACCUCUUAGUGGGGAAUAACCCUGGGAAACCGGGGCUAAUACCGCAUAAGCUCGAGAGAGGAAAGCAGCAAUGCGCUGGAAGAGGAGGUCGCGGCCGAUUAGCUAGUUGGCRGGGUAACGGCCUACCAAGGCAAGAUCGGUAGCCGGCCUGAGAGGGCGCACGGCCACACUGGCACUGAAACACGGGCCAGACUCYUACGGGAGGCAGCAGUGGGGAAUYUUGCRCARUGGGGGMAACCYUGAYGCAGCRACGCCGCGUGAGCGAUGAAGCCCUUCGGGGYGUAAAGCUCU